AAAAAGAUAAACAUGCUUGGUAAAAGUUACAGUUUUACCUAUAACUUUGGUCGAGUAAGACACGCAAAAAGGCAAUAUUUAUAAAUAAUUUUUAAAAUAUUUGUAUCUAAUACAUAAAUAUUGCAACGAUUUAAUUGGAUAUAACACUAUUUUUAAGUAUGGGUUGUAACUUCUCUUGCCGUCCUUGUUGCUGCUGCUGUAUCCCUUGCGUUUGCUGCGACUGCUGCGGAUGCUGCGCUGACCCUCCGCCGCGUCAUGUCGAGACUCACCAUCACCACGUCACCACGGUCCCUCAGCCACAAGUCGUUGUACACCAACCACUCGUCACCUCCUAGAUGGACCUUGAAAAAAAAUCUACCAGCCGAGAAACUGACUGCCGGCAAAGCCUUAUUAGUUUUAAUGUGUUUAAGUUAUAGGUUAUCGUUUAAAACUAUUAUAAGUAUAAAUACCUCUAUGAACCCUGAAACAUAAAGAAAGUUAGAAAUCGAUAUGAUCUACCUAAUCUAAGCUAAGCUUUGGAUGGACUGAUAAAUAGAAUUUUGUGGUUAACUAAAUGCUGGGUAGAUAGCAACUUCCAUGAUGCUUCAAAAUGACAGAUGCACCAACCUUAAAUGUUUGUUUUUAUUGAGGACUCAAAAAUGUACAACACUAUACCAUGCCUGGUUCUCUCAAGGUAAUUGUAAGGGACUAUGGAUGUCUACUUGAUCUGAUUCUAAAAAAGAAGGUCACAUGUAAUAACAUCUCAGUAUCGCUCUUUAUUCAAAUACUGUCAUCUGUUACAAUCUGUACAAGUUAGGAUUAUUUUUCUUUUGUAACGUCAGUAGGAAAAAGAUAUUAAAAGUCUUCAAAAAAAUUCUGUAUUUGAUGAAUUAAAUAUCAUCUAGUUAUUUCAGAACACACUUAAGUAUCUCAUCUAUUAAAAUAUGUUAUCUUAGAUCAACAUACUUCCUUAUAACGAUUGAUUUUCAUUAUUUUCUUAGACCCUUUAAAUGGAAGAGGGCUAAAGAUACUUGAUAAAUAUAUCUUCCGAUCGAAUCUUUUGAAGCGUUAACAAUUUGUUUUUAAUAGUUUUUUUACCCAAUCCGUCUACACAAUUGGUUUCGACCUUGCGAUGGUACUGCUGGUGCAAAUACAUCGCAAGAAUCAAUUUGUAACAGGCACACGUAGCGGACGCACCAACAAGUGAAAUUGAAGAACGCAGCGAUUUCCAAUCCAUAUGAUAACAAAAGUUGAUAAGAAAAUUAAAGUGUUUGUUUUAUGAAAAUUAUUAUAAUGUUGAUAAACUGUGACUAGAGUUCUUAUUUAGUGGUUAUUUAGGAUGGGUUUCAAAAUCACUGUGAGACCGUUCUGUUGUUGCUUCAUCCCUUGCAUUUGCUGCAAGUGUGUCUGCGAAUCUGAAACGGAGAUUUCACAAGAAUCCAGGGACCGACCAAUCCCUGAACCUCCCCCGGCCUAUUGCGAUGUACCUUUGAAAACUGACUUCCCUCCACCUUACACGGAAAAGCCUGAAGGAGGUAAUAAGUAAGAUGUCACAACAUGUGACAACAAUGUGCAUGAGGCAGAUGUAGUACCUACGGGAGGGCGUCUUUGUUGUAGCAUUGAGUCGUUUCACUCGUUUGAGGACCACUUGAAAAUUCCACUCUCUUUAUAGAGCUCUCUAUAAAGAGCGCGGCCCUUUUUCCGAUUUAUGAUGAAACCUAUGUUCACAUAUGUUUUGGUUAUGUUUAAAAUAAGUAAAAUAUUAUGUAAUUAAUGUAUAUAUAUAUAUGUGUUUUAAUAAUUAAACUGAGUAUUCGUCUGUAAUAGCAGCUUUUUCGAUCUGAGUUAAGUCAAGAGUCUGAGGAAAAAUUUAUUAGGGCAGAAAGUGUCAAAUCUUGGAAAAACUCAACGCCACAGAAAUCAGAAUAAUGCUCAAAGGCCACAUUCAUCUUAAUGAUGUAAUUGAGAUUUGUGUAAUGCUGGUUGUUAGCUCAUCGCCU